ACAAACACUAAAUGCUGGAGAGGGUGUGGAGAAAAGGGAACCCUCGUGCACUGUUGGUGGGAAUGUAAAUUGAUACAGCCACUAUGGAGAACAGUAUGGAGGUUCCUUAAAAAACUAAAAAUAGAAUUACUGUAAGACCCAGCAAUCCCACUACUGGGCAUAUACCCAGAGAAAACCAUAAUUCAAAAAGACACAUGCACCCCAACGUUCAUUGCAACACUAUUUACAAUAGCCAGGUGAUGGAAGCAACCUAAAUGCCCAUCAACAGACGAAUGGAUAAAGAAGAUGUGGUACAUAUAUAUGAUGGAAUAUUAUUCAGCCAUAAAAAGGAACGAAAUUGGGUCAUUUGUACGACGUGGAUGGACCUAGAAAUUGUCAUACAGAAGAAAGUCAGAAAGAGAAAAACAAAUAUCGUAUAUUAAUGCAUAUAUGUGGAAUCCAGAAAAAUGGUACAGAUGAACCGGUUUGCACGGCAGAAAUAGAGACACAGAUGUAGAGAACAAACGUAUGGAAACCAAGGGGGUAGAGUGGUGGAGGGGUGGUGCUGGUGGGAUGAAUUGGGAGAUUUUGAUUGACAUUUAUACACUAAUAUGUAUAGAAUAGAUAACUUAAAAAAAAAAAAAAAGAACCACCGGGUCAAAGGUGAUGUCAUUUCACCUGGAGGUGUUCUAUCUGGUCUGCUUUUAGGAAGACAGUGUGAGGGCUGAUUACAUCAACCCACCCUGGACUUACACUGGGCUGGGGUUGGGUGGUCACUGCAGCUGGACUCAGUUCACCUUGAGUGACCCAUCUCGCUAGGAUUUCAAAGCCCGGCAAAUGUCUCGCUGGGAGAGCCGCCAUUCCUGCUGCAGGCCCCACAUGUGAGUGGGACUUUGUCUCUCAAAUGCUGGGAGACACAGGAGUUUUGCGUUGCUUUCUGACCCAGCACUGAAGUUUCAGCUCGUCUGGCUCUCAUUGCUUUCACUGCUGUCCAAAGUCUUUAAGACUACAAUUUUUGUCAUUUAUUCCACUUUUUUCUAGAAUUUACAAUGAUUUACCCUGCUGAUAUCGACUAUAUCUUACUUGGAAGUAAAAGUUCCAGUGAUUUUCAAAAAA